CACGCUGGUGUGGAUGCGGGGUGCUGAGCCAAAAUUUGGGGUGUCCUUCCCCGUGACCUGGUGGGGACUGUCAGGGUCACGGCACAAACCUGAGCCAGAGGGAGAGAGGUCUGGGGGCACGGUGGGGGCUGCCGGGGGGGGGGGGGGGACAGCCCCAGUUGUCGGCACGGCUGAGUCGCUGGUGGAGGUCUCACGAGGGGGCUUCAGGAGGGCAGGGACCACCGGGAUGCUGCACCUGAGGCAUCCAAGCCGAGGUCCAUCCUCCUUGUGGGGCAGGCUGCCCAAAAUCCAGACCCUCAGCCCCUUCCCUGUGCCCCUGGGGCUUCCUGGGUGAGUGGCGGGGCCGGGCAGGGAGGAAGCCCAGCUCUUGGCUUAGCUCUUAACAUCUGGGCUUUUCUUUCCGGAGAGACAGAAAAAAAAAAUAUCCCUCUCGGCUGGGAUAACGCAAUUGCUACCACGACAGCGAGGCUGGGAGGCUGCGUGCUCCUCAGGAAUUCUUUUUUUGUUGUUGUUUGUUUGUUUUUAGUCGAGUUGUGAGGAUAAAUAUUUCCCUCUGCCUGUGUCCAAAGGUCUCUGGCACGACCAGUAAGAGGAAAAAAGCAUUACAGCUAGAUGGGAACGGUGGCUACGGAGCCUGACGCUGCCUCGUUCCCAGGCUGGUGGAGGUUUGUGCCUCUGCCUGCAAAUCCGUGCUGCGCCCUGACCCCCCUGGGAUGGCCGAGGAUUAGGUUGAAAUUCCCUGCAGGUGUUUUACUGAUAGGAGUUUAGCCAGGGGUUUGUCCGUGAGAUGGGUAGAACGAAGGCUCAGCCUGCCCCUCCUUGCACCCCUGGGGUUUGGGGGGGCUUUGCCCAGCCUGGCAGUGCCGUGGGGCAGGAGGAGAGGGGGCUUUCAGGAAUAACACCUCGGCGCCAGCCUGUCCAGCCGGGGCUGAGCGUGUGGCUGGCUUUGGGGCAAAGAUCCGGGCUGCUUCUGCCCUUCCUGCGGAGCAGGACAGCUGUGCGCCGUGCUCCGCGGUGCUGCUGGCAUCCACAGCUCAGACGUGGUGGUGCUGGGGGGAUUUACUGCCUGGCUUCCCACCCCAGCACCGUGCCACCCAGGGCCCCUUGGGAGGAUGCUCCACGAGCUCCGGUGCAUUUUGCAUCAGAGCAAAGCCGUCUCCCGUCCCUGCACCCUCCCAGCGCCUGGGGACCCUGCCCGGGAGGCUCACGGAGGCAGCGAGGAGAGGGGACCUGCAAGGAGGCUUCGUGGAGGCAGCAGGAGCACGAAUUGGAGCCGAGCUCUGCGCUUGGGGCUGGAGCCAGAGGGAUGUGCAGCCGGGAUGAACGAGGAGAAACGGCGUGGUGCUGAGCUGUGGGAUGGCUCUGCCUGUCUGGCAGCCGAGCGCCCUGCAGGAGCAGCUUGUCCCAGCUCGCUGGGAGGCUCAAGGCUCUUGCAUUUCAGCCCUGGGGAGCGUUUGGGGAUGCCAGCUUCUCCCCCGCCGUGCACGGAUCCUGCCUGCUUCCCCUGUGGAAUAUAAACCCGAGAGGCCGAGGAGAGCCGUGGCCAGGGACACCUCCCACCCCACCUUGGAUCUAACACGGACAGAGGGGCCCUGUGGCUGCUCCUGCUCACCUGGACGCCCUCCAGACCUCUCCAAACCCACCGAUGCCCUUUUGGGGCCAUCAGCUGAAGCCAUGGGAGGACGGGGUCCCAGCCCCGCAUCGCCCCGUCCCUCCUGCAGAGCCACCCGAGCCCCCAGUGUCCCCUCCGGUGCGGUGGCAGGGGACGAGCCCUGCUUGCGUGGAGCUCCCUGCGUGGCCCCGUGGGUGGGGGGACACGGGUGGCCCUUGUCACAUGCCUGUAGGUGUCACUGUCCCCACGCCGUACCCGGAUGAGUGGCCACGGAGAGGGAAAGGGGCUUGGAGCCGGAGGCUGACAUUUGCUGCUCCAGGAGCUGCUCCCCAUGGCACCAUGGGCAGUGACACCCAUGGCUUGUGGCGGGGGCGUUGCACGCAGUGGGGUGUCCCCGUGUGUCACCCCCUGGGGUGGCCGAGGAUGCCCCACAGGUCCCUCCGUGUCCGUCUUUGCUUGCUCCAGGGUUUUUCCUGCCCAAGAUUGCAGGCUUGCAAUGGGGGCCCAGGAGUGGCAGGGGCUCUGCUGUCCCCUCCCUGUCCCCCUCGCUCGGCUGGGGACUGUCGCAGCCUGUCCCCCUUCCCCACGUGCCCACAAAGGGACACCCGCCUUGUCUGGGGUUCUGCUUAGCCAGAUUUUUUUUGGAAAGCAAAAAGUGAGCAAGCGAUGGGAGAGCUCAGGGAGUGCCUGGCAGGGAGGGGAGAGCUCGGGGCCGACGGCCAAGGCAGGGCCUGCAGCGAGGGCAGGAGCUGGAGCACGGCCUCCUGGAGGGGCGCAGCCCGGAGGCAGGCAGGAGGCCGUGCUCGGGGAGAGCUCGUGCCGAGCCACGCCACUCCGCAGCCCUGCCAAACCCGGGAGCUCAAAACCCAUGAGUCAGACGCCCUAAAAAGCCCAUGGCCGGGCUGAAAAUGCUGAGCCCAAACCUAA